rnacentral:rRNA from 1 species
ACGAACGCUGGCGGCAUGCCUAACACAUGCAAGUCGAACGAGACCUUCGGGUCUAGUGGCGCACGGGUGCGUAACGCGUGGGAACCUGCCCUUAGGUUCGGAAUAACUCCCCGAAAGGGGUGCUAAUACCGGAUAAUGUCUUCGGACCAAAGAUUUAUCGCCUUUGGAUGGGCCCGCGUUGGAUUAGCUAGUUGGUAGGGUAAAAGCCUACCAAGGCGACGAUCCAUAGCUGGUCUGAGAGGAUGAUCAGCCACACUGGACUGAGACACGGCCCAGACUCCUACGGGAGGCAGCAGUGGGGAAUAUUGGACAAUGGGCGAAAGCCUGAUCCAGCAAUGCCGCGUGAGUGAUGAAGGCCUUAGGGUUGUAAAGCUCUUUUACCCGGGAUGAUAAUGACAGUACCGGGAGAAUAAGCUCCGGCUAACUCCGUG